CGCUCGGUCUGCCCGCCCACGCGCGCGGCCCAGAGACCGUCCCAGGCCGCCCGGCCAGGAUCUUUGUGGCCUGCGCUCCCCCCGCCCCCGGCCGCCACCUCGCGCCGCGGAGGCCACGACCCUCGCAGGCCACUGGCCUCUGUCCGAGGGCGGGAGACCCCCAACCGGGAGCCCGAUGGCCGGAGCCCACGACCCACCCACCCACCCCCACCGGGGAGAACGGGGCCGCGUCCCCACGCCCCUCCCGAGCGUGCCGGGCCGCGUCCACGUGGUGUCCCCGCUCCCAGCGGGAGGGGCCGGGGGCUUAGCAUUCUGGCGACUGGAGAUCCCGACCAGGGUGGGGGCCCCGAACCCCAAUCAGUGCAAAAGAAAAUCCUGCAGGAAGAACCAAGGUGUGCGCCUCAACCGCGGCCUGCUUGGCUGUCCAGUCAUAUUAACUCCUUCAGUUCUUUUUUGGAUGAAUUAGGUAAUUUAUAGGGGUGUGGCCACUGGUUAUAAAUAACUCCCCCGUUUGGGCAUCUGCUGUGCGACAGACAGAGUCCUACGCUUGUUCCUCAGUUUCGUUAAUCUACAGCUACCCAGGAGGUGCAUAUUAUUAUCCACAGUGUGCAAUAAGGAAACAGGCUCAGAAGAGGGGAGUGCCUUGACCAAGGCUAUCACCGGGCAGAGCCCCAAUUUAAGGUUGGAUCUUGCCUGACCUCAAAGACCCCUGUGUCAGGCACCCCUAGAAGCCUUGAUGGUGCGAUGGUUAAGCACUCGGCUGCUAACCAAAAGGUUGACGGUUUUAACCCACCUCAGUGGGUCUCCGGGAGAAAGGACUUCGGGAUCUGCUCCUGUAGCCUAGAAAACCCUAUGGGGCAGUUCUGCUCUUGCACAUGGGGUCGCUGGGAGUUGAAAAUCAACUCGAGGGCACCCAACAAUAACGCUUCAUGAUGUUCCUGGGUGGUGCAAACUGUACCCAACUACUAACCUAAAGGUCGGCAGUUCAAACCCAGCCAGCAGCACUGCUGAAGACAGACCUGAUCAUCUGCUUCCAGAAGGAUUACAGCCAGGACAACCCUCUGGAGCACACAUGCGGUAUCCAGGAAGUGAAAUCCACUCCAUGUAACAGGGGUGCCUCCUACUUUGAAGUCCUUGUUCAUGGAUAGCUGCCUUUGAGUAGACUGACUGACUGACUCAUGGUGACCUUAUCUACAACAGAAGGAAACGUCUGGUCCUACAUCAUCCUCAGGACCACUGGCACGUUGUCUGGUCCUACGUCACCCUCAGGACCACCGGCACGUUGUCUGGUCCUACGUCAUUCUCAGGACCACAGGCACGUUGUCUGGUCCUACGUCACCCUCAAGACCACCGGCACGUUGUCUGGUCCUACGUCACCCUCAGGACCACCGGCACGUUGUCUGGUCCUACGUCACCCUCAGGACCACCGGCACGUUGUCUGGUCCUACGUCAUCCUCAGGAUCACUGGCAUGUUCGAGUCCAUUGUUGUGGCCAUUGUGCCAACCCUCCACGCCCCCGCUGGCCCUCUGCUUCACCAACCAUGACGUCCUUCUCCAGCGACUGAUCCCUCCUGCUGAUGUGUCCAAAGCAAGCAAGUUGGACAGUGUCCAGUUGUGAUCCAUAAGGUUUCCAUUGGCUAAUUUUUGGAAGAUCACCAGGCCUUUCUUCCUAGUCUGUCUUAGUCUGGAAACUCCACUGAAACCUGUUCACCAUGGGUGACCCUGCUGGUGUUUGAAGUACAAGUGGCAUUGCUUCUAGCAUCACAGCAGCACACAGGCCACCUCAGUAUGACACACUGACGGGGUGGUGGUAUUUGUGGAUAGGGUGGGAUUUGGGGAAUUCCCGCCAUCUCUUUGAGAAAUAUUGCUCACAGACGCUAAGCGGUGCCUGCCUUUCAUUCAGAGAGCUGCGUGUGGAGCUGUCGCUGAGCUAACCUGGGAUACGGGGGUGACUGGCACACAAUCCUGCCCCCAGGGGAGGAGCUCUCUGGCCAGGAGCCCAGUGGUCACCUACCAACCGCAGUGGAGUGACAUUUACGCAGUGAGAGGGUUAGGGUGCAACCCCCGGGAUGGUGAUAGGCUCUGGGCACCUCAAGACUCCCAGGGUCGUGUGGAAGCUGGGCUGCACGGCCGAGUGGGAGCUGACUCGAUGGGCAAGGCAGAAUGAGCUGAGGCUCCCAAGAGCGCUCAGCAACCCAGCUCCAUGUGCCAGAACUCCAGUCCAGAGGGCUGUCUGGAGCCCUGGAAGGGUCUCCAGGAUCAAGGGUAAGGUGGCCGGCCAGGUGAGAUGGGGCCCAGCUGUGGGCAUUGGGUGGGCAGCCUGCUGGAGCUGUACUGGGACCCGCAGCACAGGGGAGCAUGGACAUCCCAUGUGCGUGUUGGAAAAAUGACGUUGGCAGGGGUACAAAGGGUAGACUGUGGGUAGGGGGCCACCGAGGACCCUUUGGGGUCAUUCCAGCAAGAGAUGACAACGAGGACUGAGGGGAGGGUCAGCUGUAGAGACAGGGAGGGAGAGAAAGGUGCAAGCAAGCGAGGCUAAGAUCCCAUCAUGACCUAGUGACCCACUGAGGGGUAAGGAGCAGGAGGACCCAGAGAACGCUCAGGUUUCUGGCUCUGGUGACUUAGCGGCACUAACACCUAGAAUGGGAACUCUGGAGAGACCAGCUUGAGGGGAAGGAGGGGGAAGCCGAGUUUGCACUUGUCGGCCUGAGGUGCACCACCCCAAAGCCACACCUGAUGAAAGGUGGACAAGGUGCGCGUGAAGGUAUUCUGUGACACCUUAGCUUCUCAGGACUGCUGUAACAGAAACACAAGUGGGUGGCUUUAACCAACAAAUGUAUUUUCUCACAGCUCAGGAGGCUAGAAGUCCGCAUUCAGGGCACUGGCUCUAGGAGAAGGGUCUCUGUUGGCUUUGGGGGAAGGUCCUUGUCCCUUUCAGCCUUCGUGCCUCGGCUCCUUGGUGAUCUUCACCUGGCAUCUGUUUUUCCCCCUUUGUGAUGGCUUCUGUGUCCCAUCCGCUCCUUUCACAUCUCAAAAGUGACUGGUUUAAGACACACCUGCACUGAUACGGCCUCAUUAACCUAACAAAGAAAACCCUGUUCCCAAAUGGGAUUAGUUCCACAGGCAUAGGAGUUAGGAUUUAUAACACAUAAUUUUGGGGUCACUAUGAGUCAGAAUCAACUCGAAGACAACGGUUUUUGUUUUUUUUAAUUUUGAGAGGACACCACUCAAUCCAUAAUACCUGACUAUAAAAGGCCUGAGGCCAUCACAGUGGCUGCCACCCACUCGUCCCCUCGGGGAGUAUUUAUGGAGGCCUGGCGCACGGAGAACAAAGCUGAAGACACAAAGCUCGGGGAGCUCAUGUUUUAAUGGGGAGGGAGCUUAGCAAGUGACCAGUGCUCUGGGGGGCAUAGGCAGGGACAGAAAAUGGUAGGCAGGAAGGGCAAGGGAUGGUUUGGGAUUUCAUACUGGGCGGCUGAGGGGCCACGUUGAGAAGGCGAUGUUGGUGCAAAGACUGGAGGGGCAUCAGAGAGUCAACACUGUGAAGACCGAAGGACCAGCUGCCUUUUGUUUGCCUGAUUUUGAAGGUGGAGAAAAACGACGGCAUGUCGUACGCUGGUGGAAAGAACCCAGGAGAGGGGGAGCGAGGUGCAGGCGAGAGGGGACAGGGCCCAGUACGGGGCUCAUGGGAGGCCCCAUCCAGGACAGAAGGCAGGCCCCGGGGGCACAGGGAAAGGAAGGUGGGUGGGUAGGUGUCACGGAGGGGCUCUCCUGAUGGUUUCUAUGUUCUUUAUGAGAUAGGAAGCAAGAUUAUCAGCCAAGACAGGACAGGAGAGGUGUUGGGGGUUUGAGGAGACAGGAGAACCGGGAGCAUGAACAGACCCGAGUUCUGUGACUGCUGGACGGACGGCAUUCAGGGCCGAUUGGAGAUUAGCCAUGCUAGCUUUAAAUAAUCAUAGUCUCAGCUCCACCACCUGUCUGUCAGCUUGCUGUACUGUGGUGUCUUGCAUGUUGCUGUGGUGCUGGAAGCUGUGCCGCCAAUAUUUCACAUACCAGCAGGGUCACCCGUGGUGACCAGGCUUCAGUGGAGCUUCCAGACUAAGACAGACUGGGAAGAAAGGCCAGGUGAUCUUCUUCUGAAAAUCAGUCAGUGAAAACUCAAUUGGAUGAACCCCCCUCAAAACCAUUGCCCUAAAAUACUCUUUAAACCUCAAACCAAAAAUGUCUCCUGAAGUUUUCUUAAAACCAAACAAUAGGUUAGCUUCGCUAGUAAAAAAAGUCUGCCGUCAACAUGUUUUUUUUUUUUUAAUCUAUGUGACAUCUGUAGGGUCGCUACGAGUCGGUAUCAACUCGAUGGCAACGAGAGUUUUCUGUGAGAUCAAACUGACAGCGGCAACUUGACAGGUUAGCUGGGAACCUUAGGGGGGCAGUGAGUUUAUGUUAACGGGGAAGGAACAUCUCAGAGGAGGAGGCUCAGAUGGCUGCACAGCUCAAGGAACGUAAUCAGUGUCACUGAAUUGUACGUGUAGAAACUGUUGAAUUGGUGUACGUUUUGCUGUGUAUAUUCUCAACGACAACAGAAAUAAAUUUUAUUUUUUUUUAAAACCUAUGGAUGACAAUAGAAUAUUGUUUGAUGUAGUGCUGCAAGAUGACCCCCUAGGUUGGAAGGCGCUCAAAAUACACAGCGGCUGCAACAGUGGACUCAAGCAUCGUGAAGACGGCGCAGGAUUGGACGUUUUGUUCUGUUCUGCAUGGGGCCGCCAGGAGUGGAGCUGAAUUUUCAGCAACAGCAACAGUCUCAGCUACCAUUUACUGGUCAACCAGUAAUGCCAGGCACUCUGCUAAGUACUUCACGUGCUUCAUCUCGGUUCCCGCACAGAGCCGGCCUACGAAGGAGGUAGAACGUCCCCAAAUGCUUGAUGGAGAUGCCUGGUUUCCUUAGAGAGGCUCUGAGACUGUUCCAAGGUCUCUCAGCCAGUAAAGGCGGAUGUUCAGACACCCUGUCUACCACAUCCUAGAGACCGCACCACACUGCCUCUGCGAGAAGGCCAUAGACGCAAGCCACUGCUUUCCGGUUGCAAAAGAAAUACAUUCUUAUUGAAGAAAACUUGGAACAUAACUUUUGCAUAUUUUUUCAGACACUUGAAGUUCUGCUCUUUAUCCACUUUUAUAUUUUGCUCCAGUUGAAAUUUAUUAUUAUGAUUAUUGUUAGUUAUUGCCAAAAAACAAAAAAGCCAAACCAGAUGCUGUUGAUUCUGACUCAUGGCCACCCCGUGUGUGUGCCAUAGGGUUUUCAAUGGCUGAUUUUUUGGAAGCAGAUCACCAGGCCUUUCUUCCAAAGUGCCUGAGUGGACUCGAACCUCCAACCUUUGGGUUAGCAGCCAAGCACAUUAACUGUCUGCACUGCCAAGGAACUCCUUAGUUAUUGCCAUUUCCACAAACAUGAGUAAAUACAAUGCUAACCGCCAUGUGCAGAUGUCUUCUCUGGGAAGACCUGUCACCUGGGUGGCUGUCACUGUCGUCUAGACCUCAACAGCUGCCCCUGAUUCUACCUCAGGGACAGCUAGAGGCCAUCAAAGAAGGCUCGUGUUCUUCUCACACGCUAGUAGUGCUCGUAGGUCAUCAUAUGAGCUUCUUGGUACAUUCAAGAAGCUACUGUCUCACAUGGUUAGGAUUAUGGUGGGGGCGGGGAGAAGCAAAUUGUGAUUUUUCAGGCCCAUUGCUGGUCCUGUAAGGAUCCCAGUCUUCUUCUCUCAGCCAUUAUUCUAUUUUGGCAACAGUGCAGGGGCCUCAGUUCUCCUUCAGGCCACAGAGAGAGAGAAAAAGGAAAACAAGGCUGAGAUUGUGUUUUCAUGGGGCCUUGGUUUUGUGAAACAAGAAGACUGCAGUGGGGAGUGAGCUUCAAGAAGGACAGAGAUAACCAUGGCCAAGUGACAGAGAGAAGAAGACACUAAGGCCCCCGAUACAACGUCCCUCCCUCUCUCCUCUUCCCCUCGCUACCUUCUCCUUCCCGUUGGGCCCACCUUCCUCCUUUCCCUACCUGGCACAGUGCAGGGGCUCUUACCUGCUUCUUGCACUGUGGUCAUGGCUGGCUCCUGUGAGGCGCUCAGAGGUGGUGGGAGGGAGCCUGAGGAUGGGGCUGGGCAAAGCCCUCUUAUGCUCCAGCAGAAGAUGGGCAGCGACCGGCAUGAAGGACCAGGACAGAGCGAGAAGGCCACAGGCGAGGAGCCAUCGCGGGCGUGGGAGGCCGGAAGGAACUGGGAAGGGCAGGCCUCCGCGGGGGACAGAAUGCUGCCUCACAAUCCCGCCCUGCCCCAAGAUUCUCAGGUUCUGAGUCUGGAGUCCUCACAGUGGAAGCAGCUCACUGGGCCACAGUGUGGAACGUUCCGGAAAGAAGCCCAUUUAAUACCACUGCCCAGGGGAUCCUGAAUAAAAAUCACGACUUGUGAGAGGCAAGGAUGUCAGAGCAAGCCACGUUAAGACAAAAUGCAACAAGGCACCAGAGACAACCCUGUUUCAGGCUUUUUCCAGUGACCCUAGAAAGUGUUACUGGAGACAGGUGAGGUAAGGAGCCCCAAUGGUGUCCUCAUCCCUGAGAAGGCAAGAGUAGCCCCCUAAAUUACCACAAGCCAAGCCCUCAUCAAAUAAGGCAGUCAUUCAUUCAUUUUUGUGAGCCUUCCCCCUUAGUUUCGUAGAACAAAGUUGUUCUUCUGUUUCCAUUGUAGAUCUAAGAAAAGGGGUAUGUAUUUCUCCACCUCUGCCAGGGGAACGGGGUACCUCCAGGGGCUGUGUGUAAAGCUGGUGUCAGGAUCCAGGAGAGCAAGGGCCAGUGGAGGUGCCCAGUGGGAGAGGCUACCUCCCAUCCGGGGGGCCAGGGUGAAUCUUGUGUCCAUGGACUGUCGUCCCUAAGCUGGGUGUACUAGUGUCCUAGGGACGCCGUAACAGAGUACCAAACACAGAAAUGUAUUCUCUCACACUUCUGGAAACUAGAAAUCCAAAAUCAAGGUGUUGGCAGGAUUGGUUCCUUCUGGAGGCUCUGAGGGAGAAUCUUCCAUGCCUCUCUCCCAGCUUCUGGUGGUUGCCGGUAAUUCUCAGCAUUCCUUGGCUUGUAGCCUCAUCACUCCAAUCUCCGCCUCCAUCUUCACAUGUUCUUCUUAUAAGGACCAGUCAUUGGAUUGAGGGCUUCAGUAUGACCUCACCUGUAACUAAUUACAUCUGCAAAGACCCUAUUUCCAAAUAAGGUCACAUUCUGAGGUUCCUGGUAGACAUGAAUUUUGGGGAAACACUCUUCAACCCAGUAUACUGGGUAAAACAAGUACUUAAUCCUGGCUGCUACAGGUUAAAAAUAACAAGUCCCAGUAUGGUGAGAGUAUCUGGGGUCUUAAAAGCUUAUGAGUGGCCAGCUAAUAUCUAACUAUUGGUCUUUAUUCAUCUGGAAUAAAAGAGAAAGAAGGAAACUCAAGAAUCAGAGACGGAACUGGACUAGAGGACUAAUUGUUUCCAUGAACCAAUGCCUCCUCCACCUUGAGAUCAGAAGAACUAGAUGGUGCCCAGCUACCACUACUGAAAAUUCUGAUCAGGAACACAAUAGAUGAAUCCUGAUAAAAAGGUAGAAAUAUGUGGAACAGAACUUUAAACUCUUAAAGAAUUCGGACUUACUGGACCUACUGAGGCUGGAGGAGUCCCCGAGACUAUGGCUCCGAGUUGCUCUUCAAACCUUGAGUUGAAACUAUCCCCUAAAGUCACCUUUUAACUAAGUAACAAUUUGGCCUGAACAGUAAAGAUUGUCACGCUUGAUUGCUGCAUUUCUUAAAAAAAAAAAAUUAUUAUAUAAGACCAGAAGGUCAACAGCUA